rnacentral:rRNA from 1 species
GACGAACGCUGGCGGCGUGCUUAACACAUGCAAGUCGAACGGAAAGGCUCCAGCUUGCUGGAGUACUCGAGUGGCGAACGGGUGAGUAACACGUGGGUGAUCUGCCCUGCACUUCGGGAUAAGCCUGGGAAACUGGGUCUAAUACCGGAUAGGACCGCACUUUGGUGUGUGUGGUGGAAAGGUUUUUCUGGUGUGGGAUGAGCUCGCGGCCUAUCAGUUUGUUGGUGGGGUAAUGGCCUACCAAGACGGCGACGGGUAGCCGGCCUGAGAGGGUGGACGGUCACAUUGGGACUGGGAUACGGCCCAGACUCCUACGGGAGGCAGCAGUGGGGAAUAUUGCACAAUGGGGGAAACCCUGAUGCAGCGACGCCGCGUGGGGGAGGAAGGCCUUCGGGUUGUAAACUCCUUUCGCUAGGGACGAAGCUUUUUGUGACGGUACCUGGAGAAGAAGCACCGGCUAACUACGUG